ensembl:rRNA 5S_rRNA 5S ribosomal RNA
AUUUACAGCCAUACCGCCCUGAACAUGUCUAAUCUUGUCUGAUCUUAGAAGCUAAGCAUGGUUGAGCCUAGUUAAGUACUGGGAUGAGAAAAGGAGUAAGGGACAUACAAACA